rnacentral:lncRNA from 10 species
CCGCCCCGUUCCGCCGGCGCAGGGCUCAGGGGCCCCGGAGCUUGGGAGCGCGAGGGAAGGAGCUGAAGGGGCGGGUCCGUGGGAGGCGAAGGCAGGGGAAAUGUGUGUCUGCAUUUUUUAAUUUGCAGGGGAUAUUUUCCGUCCCCUUUGUCCCGUAAGCCUCUGCUUUUUGGAUGAAAACGUUGGCUUUACCACCCUCUCUCUCCUUCCCGCACGCGCACACCUUGAAGGCAUCCUACCAGGCGGUGACCGCAGAGGAAGCACCCAGAGCCACAGUUCUUGCCUUGUCAGCUGCUCCCACCACGUCCCCAGAAAGCUCCGGGUUCGUCAGAACAGCAACAUUAAAGGAAGGCCCAAUUUAUCUAUGGAAAAAUCCGCUCCGGCCUUCCUCUUGUAGCCCCAACCGUUUUCACUUCUAAGUAGCCGCUUUGGGUCUUACUUGUUGGUUGUACAGUUGCUGUCAAUGUGCCUACCAUUUUGUACCCAGCUUAAAAUUGUUUAUUUAUUUAUUUAUUUAUUUAGAGGCAGAGUCUCGUUCUAUCACCCAGGCUGGAGUGCAGCGGGGCGAUCUCUGUUCAUUACAACCUCCGCCUCCCGGGUUCAAGCGAUUCUCCUGUCUCAGCCUCCUGAGUAGCUGGGAUUAUAGAGGUGUGCCACCGUGCUCGACUAAUAUUUGUAUUUUUAAUAGAGACUGGGUUUCGCCAUG